rnacentral:rRNA from 1 species
UACGUAGAGUGCAAGCGUUAAUCGGAAUUACUGGGCGUAAAGCGUGCGCAGGCGGUCCGUUAAGACAGAUGUGAAAUCCCCGGGCUUAACCUGGGAACUGCAUUUGUGACUGGCGGACUCGAGUAUGGCAGAGGGGGGUAGAAUUCCCGGUGUAGCAGUGAAAUGCGUAGAGAUCGGGAGGAACAUCAGUUGCGAAGGCGGCUCUCUGGACCAGCACUGACACUGAGGCACGAAAGCGUGGGGAGCAAACAGG